GAGGAGCUACCACCGCCGGGGUGUUGCUCGAUCGAGACCGUUAGCGGUCUCGUGGCGGAUUUACGGUUGGGAUUGAAGCUUGAAGAUGGAAAAGCAAUGGUGGAGAAUAUAAGUGCUGGAAUUUUGAGUAUAAUAAGUUGGAGGUAUUUAUUUGUUGAAGAUGCUCUUAGGUAUUUACAACAUUUUCUUUCAUCUUAGAAAAAAAGUGUAAAUAUUGUCCUAAUUAAUUAGGAAAUGGUUGU
rnacentral:misc_RNA from 1 species